rnacentral:rRNA from 1 species
AUUGAACGCUGGCGGCAGGCCUAACACAUGCAAGUCGAACGAGUGGCGGACGGGUGAGUAAUGUCUGGGAAACUGCCCGAUGGAGGGGGAUAACUACUGGAAACGGUAGCUAAAACCGCAUACCAUCGGAUGUGUCAAGAUGGGAUUAGCUAGUAGGUGGGGUAAUGGCUAACCUAGGCGACGAUCCCUAGCUGGUCUGAGAGGAUGACGUGCCACACUGGACCUGAGACACGGUCCAGACUCCUACGGGAGGCCGCAGUGGUGAAUAUUGCGCAAUGGGCGCAAGCCUGAUGCAGCAAUGCCGCGUGUAUGAAGAAGGCCUUCGGGUUGUAAAGUACUUUCAGCGAGGAGGCGUUACUCGCACAAGAAGCAACGGCUAACUCCGUGCCAGCCGCCGCGGUAAUUC